AAUUCAUCUUGCGUGUGUAGUGCAUACACAUGAGGUGUGCACACACCCAUGUACACAUAUGCCAUCAUCUGUGUGCAUAAGCAUACUCAGGUGUUCAGACAGUGUCAUCCGGACUCUGCCUCUGCAUCUUUCAGUCCUGCUUCGAUAUCGGCUACUGCUUCAGUAGGCUGUGAAGGUGCUGCACUGAGACAACAUUACCCUAUCUAUUUAGAAUCCAAAGGGAGUAAACUUUGUCCACAAUUUUUAGCAAAGUUCAUGGAAGUCACUCUCUGUACUGAGGUCUGGAUUUCAUGGUAUCUGUGGAGUUAUAGGUGGAAUAAAGUCGUUUGGACUGAGGAUUUGGAGUCUCCAAAGGAAAAUCAUGGUACUAUUAUCACCCACACCUGAUGUCCAGCAUAUUGGGAACAUAGGAGAAGCAUAAGGUCUUGGAAAGAGAAAACAUUUUUUAAUUUUAGUGAGAAUGAUUAAAAAGAUACAGUAAUUUAAAAAAAAAAUGAAUACUCAUGCAGAACGUAUUAUGAGCUAGAUAAAGUUUUGGUCUUUGGAGAAUUUUAUCUAUAUUGACUGUAUUCUCUCUCACAAUGUUGCUAUGAGGUACAUAACUCCAUUUUUCAGAUUAGAAAAUUGAGGGAAACUGAAGAUAUUCAGAAAUAAUGGCAACCAACUAUUUAUUUACUAUUUGCUAAAUAAUUUCCUAAAUAAAAUUUUAAAGUUAUUAUCUUUCCUGGCAAUGCAUAAUUAUGGAGAAGUCACUGUUAUAAGCAUCAAAUGCCUAGCUAUGUACAAAAAGACAAAGUAUCUGCCAUCUGGGAAAUCGUGCUACUGUGACAUGAUAAUAAACAGGUAGAAAAAGUUGGCUUUCAAUGCUUAAGUACCAUCAGCAAAGUAUGAUGGGAGGCCUUCAGUUUAAAUGAAUGCUGCAUGUUCAGUCCAAAUCCCUCUAAACAUAACUGAUAUAUGAAUUGAUAUCAUACUACAUAUUUCUGUUUUUGAGUAUCAGCAUAAUUUUGAGUGGAGAAAAAUAUACAUACACCUUUAUCUGCGGUGAGAUGUUCCCUCUUUCUAUGUAAAGAAAAUUGAAAUAGAAUUGUGUUGUUUUAGAAAAACAAGAUUAAAUUUCUUUUGUUUAAUAAAUGUAAAUCAUUUACUUAUUGAAAGUAGGUAACGGGAAGAUCAUGAUCACAGCUAAUGAUUAUUGAGUCCUUGAAAAAUACUGAAUAGUCUUGACUUAAAUCGUCUUUAGAUUAACUGGCAUUAUUAUAAACCUAUUUUACCAGCAUGGAAAUUCCUGUGGUCACCUGGCCCUUAGUGCACCAAAUGCCAUAUAGUCAGGAUUUGAACCCAGUGAGAUACAGCUAGAGCAGCAUGCUUCUACUCACUGCACCAUGAUGCCUCCAUAGAACCCCAUGGUUUUCAUUGGUGCUGCUUGUUCUCUUGUCUCAACUGUGAAAACAUCUGAGACUUUGCAGCUGCCUCAGAGAAGUAGAAAGAAAAUUGCAGUCCCUUUCCUGAUACUACCAGGGAUAGGAAAGUGACUGCAAACAUUGAACACAAUUUUAAGAGUAAGAAAUGCUUGGACUCACUGUUUACUGAAUCGCAUAGUGCAGAAUAUGAAUUCAGGCAGUGGCUGACUUUGUCCUCCACCUGUGUAAACAAGGCGGUAGACUCCAGGAGGGAAUCUGAGAUAAGUUUAAAAAAUUUUUUUAAUUAUUAGUUUUGUAACCUAUGACACCUGUAUGUGCAGUUUCUGUGGCCCUCUUUAACUCUAAAUGGAUUAUGGGGCAAGUUGAUAAAUAGUCCAUCACCUAGAAAACAGUUAUGCAGAACAGGCCCCAUCUGUGAAAGAAAACAAAAAUCAACUUCAUUAAUGUCUAUGUUUUUGGGAAGGAAAUUCUCCCUUAUGCUUUUCACAGUUAUGUAAAUCUCAGGCACAAAAAAAGCCUUUUCAUAAGUAUUAGCAUAUACAUUUUUUUAAAUAAUGAGAAUGUUUUAAAUGUUACAAUGAAAAUACAAAGUGACAUAAUAGUUAAAUUUCAAUAAUAC
rnacentral:lncRNA from 1 species